rnacentral:rRNA from 1 species
UUCGCAAUGCCCGAAAGGGUGACGGUGCGACGCCGCGUGGGUGACGAAGGCCUUCGGGUUGUAAAGCCCUGUCACCUGGGAAGAAAAGUGGAUGGUUAAUAGCUAUUUCACUUGACGUUACCGGGAGAGGAAGCACCGGCUAAAUACGUGCCAGCAGCCGCGGUAAUACGUAUGGUGCGAACGUUGUUCGGAAUCACUGGGCAUAAAGGGCGUCUAGGUGGUUUCGUGGGUCGAUGGUGAAAUCCUGCAGCUCAACUGCAGAACUGCCAUCGAAACUACGUGGCUAGAGUACAGGAGGGGAGAGUGGAAUUCCUAGUGUAGCGGUGAAAUGCGUAGAUAUUAGGAGGAACGCCGGUGGCGAAAGCGACUCUCUGGACUGUUACUGACACUGAAGCGCGAAAGCUAGGGGAGCAAACAGGAUUAGAUACCCUGGUAGUCCUGGCUGUAAACGAUGGGCACUAAGUAGAGGGGUUUU